CUUUCCCCCCUCCACUGGUCCUGAUCACUGCUUGCUUGUGUCUCAGCUUCUUCCUCUUCCUCCUCUUCCACUUCUUCUUCUCCUUCUAGUACUUUCUUAUUCCCUUCCUUGUCACUCACGAAGUCCUUUCUUUUCAUCCCGAGAAGAGAUCGCUUUCCGUUCCCGACUUCGUAGGCGCGAAGAACGAAGAGUUUGAUUAUGCCUUUCCAGGCAGUACCGAAGAGAUAGGUUAGGUCGUAGCAUCCGACCCGUCUCUUGGCUAGAAGGGAGGUAGGAUUGGCUAACCAAGGUGAGGGCGAGUGUCGUCAGCACAAAGGCCAUCCAGCUGGGCCCAUGACGGUUGAGUGUCGUUGCCAUAGCCAUUUGGAAGGCUGGGGUGGUGGACGUAGCCAACUGAUCAUGGGGCCAUCGGGGUUGGGGUUUUAGCCCCUUUUUUUCCCUCAUGAUUUGUUUCUUUCGUUCGAUAAAUUCUCAAGAUUUUUAAUUUGCUAAAAUCAUGUUGUCACUUGAGUCCAUCUCAUGUUAGGAUUCGACUCAGCUCAUCCAAACAGAUGAAUAUCAAAACGUCGUGCUUUUUUUCAACA